UACGUAGGUGGCGAGCGUUGUCCGGAUUUACUGGGCGUAAAGGGAGCGUAGGCGGACUUUUAAGUGAGAUGUGAAAUACUCGGGCUCAACUUGAGUGCUGCAUUUCAAACUGGAAGUCUAGAGUGCAGGAGAGGAGAAUGGAAUUCCUAGUGUAGCGGUGAAAUGCGUAGAGAUUAGGAAGAACACCAGUGGCGAAGGCGAUACUCUGGACUGUAACUGACGCUGAGGCUCGAAAGCGUGGGGAGCAAACAGG
rnacentral:rRNA from 1 species